CCAGGCUGGAGUGCAGUGGUGUGAUCUCGGCUCACUGCAACCUCUGCCUCCUGGGUACAAGCGAUUCUCCAGCCUCAGCCUCCCAAAUAGGUGGGACUACAGGUGGCGUCGGACCCCUGUCAGAGAGUAAAUCUCAAGUAAGGUACCUGCCAUCGGCAGAUUUGAGCUUUCUUCUUGGACACCUAAUACCCACAGUCCUCCAGGCUCCGGUAGACUGCAAAUGACCUGCUUUCUUUCUGUUCCCGGGCUGCGUUUGGACCCCUGUCGGAUAGUAAAUCCCAAGUAAGGUACCUGCCCUCGGCAGAUUUGAGCUUUCUUCUUGGACACCUAAUACCCACAGUCCCCCAGGCUCCGGUAGACUGCAAAUGACCUGCUUUCUUUCUGUUCCCGGGCUGCGUUUGGACCCCUGUCGGACAGUAAAUCCCAAGUAAGGUACCUGCCCUCGGCAGAUUUGAGCUUUCUUCUUGGACACCUAAUACCCACAGUCCUCCAGGAAUGGAACAGAUAAGAAGAUACUGAAAUUGGACGGUGCUGCCGUGCGGCUGCCGCAGGACACCUUUAAUAUCCCUGUUUCUCAGGCUGUAGAUGAAGGGGUUCAGCAUGGAGGUGAUCACCGUGUACAUCACUGAGGCCACUGCAGCCUUUCUCGGGGAAGAUGACACAUCUGAACUGAGGUACCCUCCAAAGCCUGUUCCGUAAAAUCAGCAAACAACUGACAGGAUAACUUCAGGAAGUGGGUAUUAAUUCUCACGGUAUAAGUGAAGACAUUAAGCACCAGAGUUUAAGUAGCUUGAUCCACUGAAAGAGAUUCAACUGUGUGGAACCUAUGCCGUGGAGAAUUGCUUUCUGCCAUUGUUAUCGUCCAGCAGUUGCCGAAUAGCUCUGACCUGAGCAAAGCAGUGAAACGCGGUGCUGUUGAGUGGGUUGCCACUGCACCUUUUUCAACUACUCUAGUCUUGUGGAGAAAAUACCCCUUCUAAAUUUUUUCUUCAUUGAAUACUCUCCCUCAGCUCCAGAGUACCAUAUAGAGUUUUCUUGUAUUUUAGAGUUACUGUUUUAUCAAAGUUUACCAGUCUUUUGUAUUACAUUUCUCCUGUCUAAAUCGACUGUGUGGUUUCUACUCAUUAUGGAUAUAGAUUGAUACAAACUCAAUAAAUAUUUUUGAAUGAAUAA
ensembl:lncRNA LINC01198 long intergenic non-protein coding RNA 1198